AGUUUCACCGCCAUUUUGCAUCAGCCCUGUGUGAGUGUGAGCGCAGACACGGCGGGAUCUGGCCACUUUAUUCUCUUUCGGCUCGUUUCCCUCUGGAUUUAUCACAACAUAAUCCGAGAUAUUAUCUGACAGAUCACAAAGACAUGGCCACAGAGCAUAUAAAUGGGAAUGGUACGGAUGAACCGGUUGAUUCUUCGACUGCAGUUUCUCAUUCAGAGCACUUCCAGACGCUACUAGACGCGGGCUUACUGAGAAAAGUUGCUGUCAAACUAGAUGAAAUUUACAUAGCAGGUCUCGUUUCACACAGUGAUCUUGAUGAUCGAGCGAUUGAAGCACUUAAAGAGUUCAACGAAGAGGGCGCGCUGCAAGUUCUCCUGCAGUUUAAAGACAGUGACCUCUCACACGUUCAAAAUAAAAGUGCCUUUCUGUGUGGAGUAAUGAAGACAUACAGACAGAGGGAGAAGCAGGGGACCAAAGUGUCAGAUUCCACUAAAGGACCAGAUGAGGCCAAAAUCAAAGCUUUGCUUGACAGAACUGGUUAUACACUUGAUGUCACGACCGGUCAAAGGAAGUAUGGUGGCCCUCCUCCGGGGUCGACCCAUGCAGGGGUACAGCCCACCGUUGGCACAGAGAUUUUUGUGGGAAAGAUCCCAAGAGAUCUGUUUGAGGAUGAGCUGGUGCCUCUGUUUGAGAAAGCUGGACCCAUAUGGGAUCUCCGUCUGAUGAUGGACCCUCUCAGUGGACUCAACCGAGGAUAUGCCUUUGUCACCUUCUGCACUAAAGAUGCUGCUCAGGAGGCAGUCAAACUCUGUAACAACAAUGAAAUUCGACCGGGUAAACACAUUGGUGUGUGCAUCUCUGUUGCCAAUAAUCGUCUUUUUGUGGGGUCAAUCCCCAAGAGCAAAACUAAGGACCAGAUAGUGGAGGAGUUUGCCAAAGUGACUGAGGGCUUGAAUGAUGUCAUCUUAUACCAUCAGCCCGAUGACAAAAAGAAGAAUCGAGGCUUCUGCUUCCUAGAGUACGAGGAUCAUAAAACAGCAGCUCAGGCGCGCCGCAGGUUAAUGAGCGGUAAAGUGAAGGUUUGGGGGAAUGUGGUUACUGUAGAAUGGGCCGACCCCAUAGAAGACCCCGACCCUGAGGUCAUGGCAAAGGUCAAAGUCCUUUUUGUCAGAAAUCUUGCAAGCACCGUAACGGAAGAACUUCUAGAGACGACGUUCUGUCAGUUUGGCAAACUGGAAAGAGUUAAGAAGUUGAAAGACUAUGCUUUCAUCCAUUUUGAGGAGAGAGACGGGGCUGUAAAGGCGUUGGCUGAAAUGCACGGGAAAGAUUUAGAAGGAGAACAAAUUGAAAUUGUCUUUGCAAAGCCACCUGAUCAGAAGAGGAAAGAGCGAAAGGCCCAGAGACAAGCUGCUAAAACGCAAUUGUAUGAUGAAUAUUAUUACUACGGGCCACCACAUAUGCAUCCUCCAACAAGAGCACGAGGCAGAGGCGCUCGAGGUUAUUCAUAUCCACACGACUAUUACAGCUAUGAAGAUUAUUAUGAUUAUUACGGCUAUGACUAUCACAACUACAGAGGAGGUUACGAUGAUCCGUACUACGGCUACGAAGACUUUCAAGCUCAUGUGAGAGGAAGAGGCAACAGAGGGGCCCGGGGCCUUUCACUGACCAGAGGCCGCGGCUCCACCGCUACCCGAGGACGAGCCGCUUUCUCUCAGCGCGGAAGUGCGGGGUUCAGCCGAGGUGGCCGUGGCUCCAGAGGAGGCUUCCAGCAGAGAUGUCGACUGGUACGUGAUGCGUGGAUGGAGCAGUCUUGGAACAAUGACAGGAGGUUUUAAAACGCAGUAGGCUAGUUGUUGGUCUAUUUGGGGUAUUUUUUUGUCAUGGAAAUUUGUAUUUGCCCUUUAUCAUUGUUUUCAUGGCAAAAGACCUAGUGAUCAAAAUACAUGUUUUGGCUUUUGUUUCCUCCCCUUUUCAAAUUGCUUACACAUGCAAGGCACCUUGUGGACGAAACGGACCAAAGGGCUGUUUGGCUGUUUGGAUGUGACACAAGGGAGAGCUAACGCUUCUGUUUAUUGGCCACAGUCUCAAAGACCAUUAUGUGGUCCAGCAAAUACUUCCUCAAAUGAAGUGUUUAAAUGGGUGAUUCUCACAAAACCUGUCAAGAAAAUGUCCUGGUCCAAUUUGACUCAAAUCAAAAGAAACAAAUAAGAAAUUAUAUUUAGCAUAAAUAAAGAAUUUUUUAUUUUAUUUAAUUCAUUGUUCUUUUACAUUGUGAUAUUAUUUUCAUAUGAUUUCAUGUUAUUUUAACCCUCAAUUCUUAUUACUGCAAUGCAAAAAAAUAUGGUUAUGAUGAUAUUCUCAUUACCACAACAUGAAAAAAUAUAUUACUUAAAUUAUAAAGUAUUUACACAUCAUAGCAGCACUGUCAGCCUUUCAUUUUCUCAGAUAUUAAUUGAGGAAAAAAAGGAGGCAAAUUUUAAGGAAUUUUCUUAACAAACAUUAAUGUUAAUGAAUAAAAAUGGAUGAAUCAUUAGUGAUAAUAAACCGUAUGUGGUGAACAGCUUGACAUACAAGACAUAGUUUUCUUCAAUCAAAGAUUUAUUUAUACAAAUUUUGAUUUAUGACUAACCGUUCUAAUGCAAACUUAUAAACAUCAACAUUGCAUCAGAAAAAUUCAAACAUGAAACAGCCACCGGAGUAUGUACAUGUAAUACACUUAAAUGUGAGUUGAUAUUUUCCUUUCAAUACAUUUUCAGUUCAGUGUAAUUUUUUUUUUUUUUUGUUCAUUCAGACUUAGUGUGAAUUUGUGAAUUGUUUAAUUUACUGUUGAUGUAUUGCUGUUAAUAACUUGUAUAGAAGAUACAGAUUUGAGUUCAUUAAAACUUGUGAAUACAGUUAAUAACAUACCUCUACACUGAUGAAUGAAUGUGAAUGUACCUCUCAUGCUGUCCCAGCAGGAACUGAUGUGAUUGUCAGUGUGAAUGAUACUGGGAGACCAGUGAAUCAGCACUGCUUGUCAUGUUUAACACACUAUCACGGUUUAGGGAGUAAACGAAAUGUUGAUCUGCUGAGGAAAGAAGCGAAAGAUUACACGAUAGUUGUUGUUUUUUUCUGUUGCUGACAGGACGUGACGUAGUGCGCAAGCAGCAGUGCUCCCUGGGAUACAAUGAGAAUAGUAAAUGUCUGGUUGUGCUACUGUAAUGAGAAUUGGGGGGUGUGUCCUGAAAGUAAUGCCACAACACAAAAAAUAUUGAUGGUCCUAAAUAUAGGCUUCAUUAAUUUACUAAGCAUAAUAUAUAAAAAUAAAAAAUGUAAAUAUGAUUUUUCUUGACCGGUUUCGUGAGAAUCACACAAUGGACAACUUGCACAACUGCAUCCGUGUUCUACUUAAUGCGGUUCAGGCGUUUCCAGCAACAACGUUCAGUGCAUGCAUGCAGAAAUGUUUUCUUGGGAAGGCAGAUUAUUUCCAUUUUUUUAGGGCUGUCAAUAAAUAUUUUUUUGGUGUUAA